CUGCCAGGGAAAAAAAACGGACCCCAUAAGCUCCUAAAAUACACAUUUAGCCCAGCUAAGGAAACUGUUAUAAAAAAGGCCCCAUCGCUAAUUUCGGGAUUGGUGGACGAAACUACCCUUCUUCUAUCAUCUCGUACUCACCCCUCAAUCUCUCUUCUCUUCGCUAUUCUCGCAAAUCUGAUCUACUGCACUCAAACCAAACACAAUAUCAUGAGAAAAAGCAGUUUUAUUCUUUUAUUUCUUCUCACUUUAAGGUUUUUGCUCUCAUCUUCAAAUCUUCAAAUCGAUUUCACCAAUUUCUAAAUAAAUGUUAUUCAAAAUUGAUUCAAUUUCAAAGGUAACUGUCAUUGUUGUAGAUAGGCAUGACUGAUUAGUGAUUUCAUUUUUCUUACUCUUCCUUUGCAAUUUAUGAUUUUUGAACAUUUUUAAAGUUUACUAAUAUAUGGCUAUUACAAAAGCUGGACUUUUGGAAUUUUUAGGAACAAUUGAGCGUUUUUUGUUUGAUUGAACUUAUUCUUCAUUCACUUUGUUUGUAAGUUUGUUUGAGUAUUAAAGAAAUAUUGAAACAAUUGUGUUAUGGGAACUCUUUCCUACUGAUUGGAUUAAUACAGGACAGUUCCUCGCAAAUUCGUGAACUCCCCAACAAUCUGUGACCUUGCAUAUGGUCACAGAUGCAUGGAUGCAUGGAUGGAGUUUCAGUGACAUGGUAUGGGUUGUAUAGGUUUGCAAAGCAUUAUGAACACUUAAUCAGGUUGCUGCUGAAUUUUUCUGCUUUGUGACCUUGUUUGGAGAGCAAUGAAGCUUGAUUGUUGUAAACUGCUGCCAGAGAGAGAUGUUGCCGCUGUAGGGAUACUGUUGUUGUCCUUGUAAAGUUGGUUAUUUUUGGGAUUGGUUAUGGCUUUCAAAGGGUCUAUACUGAUGUCUAUUGCCCGAGGGCUCAUACUGAUCAUGAUUGUACUAUUUGCCCAAAUUAAUAAAAAUUAGUCUCUUGUUUAA
rnacentral:lncRNA from 1 species